UGGCUCAGAACGAACGCUGGCGGCGUGCUUAACACAUGCAAGUCGAGCGGAAAGGCCCUUCGGGGUACUCGAGCGGCGAACGGGUGAGUAACACGUGAGCAACCUGCCCUCAGCUCUGGGAUAGCUCCCGGAAACGGGAAUUAAUACCGGAUACGACCCUGACCGACAUCGGCCAGGGUGGAAAGGUUUACCGGCUGAGGAUGGACUCGCGGCCUAUCAGCUAGUUGGUGGGGUAACGGCCCACCAAGGCGACGACGGGUAGCCGGCCUGAGAGGGCGACCGGCCACACUGGGACUGAGACACGGCCCAGACGAAUACGGGAGGCAGCUUUGGGA
rnacentral:rRNA from 1 species